UACGUAGGGGCCUAGCGUUGUCCGGAAUCAUUGGGCGUAAAGAGCUCGUAGGCGGUUCGGCAAGUCACGUGUGAAAUCUCCACGCUUAACGUGGAGGCGCCACGUGAAACUGCCGUGACUCGAGUCCGGUAGGGGAGUGUGGAAUUCCCGGUGUAGCGGUGAAAUGCGCAGAUAUCGGAAGACGACCGAGCGAGGCGGUCAGCUGGGACGUCUGACGCAGUCGUGAACGUGGGAGCAACGGAAUGAGC
rnacentral:rRNA from 1 species